rnacentral:rRNA from 1 species
GGAUAAGGAAAGUAAAGAAGGGCGCAUGGCGGAUGCCUUGGCUCUCGGAGGCGAUGAAGGACGUGAUAAGCUGCGAUAAGCUUUGGGGAGGUGCAAAUGACCUUUGAUCCAGAGAUUUCCGAAUGGGACAACCCAAUAUCUUGAAGAGGUAUUAUCCAACGUUGUUGGAGGCUAACGCAGGGAACUGAAACAUCUUAGUACCUGCAGGAAAAGAAAAUAAACAAUGAUUCCCCCAGUAGUGGCGAGCGAACGGGGAACAGCCCAAACCAUCCAUGUUACGGCAUGGGUGGGGUUGUAGGACUACGCCGUUGCAUGAAGACAUCAGAGAAGAACUUUCUGGAAAGAAAGACCAUAGAGCAUGACAGUUGCGUAUUCGAAUGUUGUCGAAGCAUAGUAGUAUCCUGAGUAGCGCGGAGCACGAGGAAUUCUGCGUGAAUCUGCCGGGACCAUCCGGUAAGGCUAAAUACUCCCGAGAGACCGAUAGCGAACCAGUACCGUGAGGGAAAGGUGAAAAGCACUUCGAACAGAAGAGUGAAAUAGUUCCUGAAACCGUGCGCCUACAAGCGGUCGGAGCUCGUUAAUGAGUGACGGCGUGCCUUUUGCAUAAUGAACCUACGAGUUGCCUUUGCCGGCAAGGUUAAGUGUGACGACACACGUAUCCGAAGCGAAAGCGAGUCUGAACAGGGCGUAUAGUCGGCAGUGGCAGACGCGAAACCAAGUGAUCUACCCUUGGCCAGGUUGAAGGCUGGGUAACACCAGCUGGAGGACCGCACCAAUAAGCGUUGAAAAGCUUCUGGAUGAGCUGAGGGUAGGGGUGAAAGGCUAAUCAAACUUGGAGAUAGCUCGUACUCCCCGAAAUGCAUUUAGGUGCAGCCUUGCGGGUUACUGAUGUGAGGUAGAGCGACUGAUAAGAUGCGAGGGCUUCACCGCCUAUCAAGUCUUGACAAACUCCGAAUGCGCAUCAGUUCUACCGCAGGAGUGAGGGCAUGGGUGCUAAGGUCCGUGCCCGAGAGGAGAAGAAUCCGGACCACCUGCUAAGGUCCCGAAAUGACAGCUAAGUUAAACUAACGAAGUCUGACUGCUAAGACAGCUAGGAUGUUGGCUUGGAAGCAGCCAUUCAUUUAAAGAGUGCGUAACAGCUCACUAGUCGAGGAGUCGGGCGUGGAUAAUAAUCGGGUAUUAAGUUGUCUACCGAAGCAGUGGGAUCAUUUAUAUGAUCGGUAGGGGAGCAUUCCAGUCAGCGUCGAAGGCGUACCGUGAGGUAUUCUGGAGCGUCUGGAAAAGCAAAUGUAGGUAUAAGUAACGAUAAAGGGGGCGGGAAACCCCCUCGCCGAAAGACUAAGGUUUCCUGAUCAACGCUAAUCGGAUCAGGGUCAGUCGGGUCCUAAGGCUCAGCCGAACGGCGAUGCCGAUGGCAGAAACGGUUAAUAUUCCGUUACUACCUUCAGGAGUGACGUGGAGACGCAGUAGUGACAGUGCCGCCAUCUGACGGAAUAGAUGGUUGAAGGGUGUAGGAGUCGAUCAUGGCAGGCAAAUCCACCAUGAGAUCCGAACCUGAUAGUAUGCCGCGUCCUUCGGGACAAGGCAAUAGUGCGCGUAAGCAUGCUGCCGAGAAAAUCCGCUAAACUUAAUCCUGCAGGUACCCGUACCGCAAACGGACACACGUAGUCGGGAUGAAUAUUCUAAGGCGCUUGAGUGAUUCACGGUUAAGGAACUAGGCAAACUGACCCUGUAACUUCGGGAUAAAGGGUCCCUACCCUUUUAUGGGAGGGCGCAGAGAAUCGGUCCAGGCAACUGUUUAACAAAAACACAGGGCUGUGCCAAAUCGAAAGAUCCAGUAUACAGCCUGACACCUGCCCGGUGCUGGAAGGUUAAGAGGAGAUGUCAUCGAUAAGAGAAGCGUUGAAUUGAAGCCCCAGUAAACGGCGGCCGUAACUAUAACGGUCCUAAGGUAGCGAAAUUCCUUGUCGGGUAAGUUCCGACCUGCACGAAUGGUGUAAUGAUCUGGACGCUGUCUCAACCGUGAGCUCAGUGAAAUUGUAGUAUCGGUGAAGAUGCCGAUUACCCGCGAUGGGACGAAAAGACCCCGUGAACCUUUACUAUAGCUUAUCAUUGAAUCUGGGCACGUGAUGUGUAGGAUAGGUCGGAGGCUUUGAAGCAGGUACGCCAGUAUUUGUGGAGCCGCUGUUGAAAUACGACCCUUUAUUUGUUUGGAUUCUAACCCGUGGAUACGGGGACAUUGAUUGGUGGGUAGUUUGACUGGGGUGGUCGCCUCCAAAAGCGUAACGGAGGCUUCUAAAGGUGCCCUCCGGCCGAUUGGUAACCGGCCUUAGAGUGUAAUGGCAUAAGGGCGCUUGACUGGGAGACUAACAAGUCGAUCAGGUAGGAAACUAGAGCAUAGUGAUCCGGUGUUUCCGUAUGGAAGGGACAUCGCUCAAAGGAUAAAAGGUACUCCGGGGAUAACAGGCUGAUCCCUCCCAAGAGCUCAUAUCGACGGAGUGGUUUGGCACCUCGAUGUCGGCUCGUCACAUCCUGGGGCUGGAGAAGGUCCCAAGGGUUGGGCUGUUCGCCCAUUAAAGUGGCACGCGAGCUGGGUUCAGAACGUCGUGAGACAGUUCGGUCUCUAUCUAUCGUGGGCGUAUGAAAUUUGCGUGGCUCUGACACUAGUACGAGAGGACCGUGUUGGACAGACCUCUGGUUUGCCGGUUGUGCCGCCAGGUGCAUUGCCGGGUAUCUAAGUCUGGAUCGGAUAAGUGCUGAAAGCAUCUAAGUACGAAGCCGGCCACAAGAUUAGAUUUCUUAGGGUCGUUGUAGACUACGACGUUGAUAGGAUGCAGGUGUAAAGAUGGAGACAUCAAAGCCGAGCAUUACUAAUUGCCCGUUCACUUUCCUUA